CCCCCAGUAGCGGCGAGCGAACGGGGAGGAGCCCAGAGCCUGAAUCAGUGUGUGUGUUAGUGGAAGCGUCUGGAAAGGCGCGCGAUACAGGGUGACAGCCCCGUACACAAAAAUGCACAUGCUGUGAGCUCGAUGAGUAGGGCGGGACACGUGGUAUCCUGUCUGAAUAUGGGGGGACCAUCCUCCAAGGCUAAAUACUCCUGACUGACCGAUAGUGAACCAGUACCGUGAGGGAAAGGCGAAAAGAACCCCGGCGAGGGGAGUGAAAAAGAACCUGAAACCGUGUACGUACAAGCAGUGGGAGCCUCUUAAUGGGGUGACUGCGUACCUUUUGUAUAAUGGGUCAGCGACUUAUAUUCUGUAGCAAGGUUAACCGAAUAGGGGAGCCGAAGGGAAACCGAGUCUUAACUGGGCGUUAAGUUGCAGGGUAUAGACCCGAAACCCGGUGAUCUAGCCAUGGGCAGGUUGAAGGUUGGGUAACACUAACUGGAGGACCGAACCGACUAAUGUUGAAAAAUUAGCGGAUGACUUGUGGCUGGGGGUGAAAGGCCAAUCAAACCGGGAGAUAGCUGGUU
rnacentral:rRNA from 1 species